rnacentral:rRNA from 1 species
UUGGAGGGCAAGUCUGGUGCCAGCAGCCGCGGUAAUUCCAGCUCCAAUAGCGUAUAUUAAAGUUGCUGCAGUUAAAAAGCUCGUAGUUGAAUUUCGGGACCAUCAUGUCGGUCGUGCCUCGGUACGUACUGGCAUUGUUGGUUUCUCCCUUCUGACGAACCAUGAUGUCAUUUAUUUGGUGUUGUGGGAAAUCAGGACUGUUACUUUGAAAAAAUUAGAGUGUUUAAAGCAGGCUCACGCUUGAAUACAUUAGCAUGGAAUAAUGAAAUAGGACGUUUGAUUCUAUUUUCCUGGUUUCUAGGAUCGACGUAAUGAUUAAUAGGGAUAGUUGGGGGCAUUAGUAAUCAAUUGUCAGAGGUGAAAUUCUUGGAUUUAUUGAAGACUAACUACUGCGAAAGCAUUUGCCAAGGAUGUUUUCAUUAAUCAAGAACGAAAGUUAGGGGAUCGAAGACGAUCAGAUACCGUCGUAGUCUUAACCAUAAACUAUGCCGACUAGGGAUCGGAUGAUGUUAAUUUUUUAAUGACUCAUUCGGCGCCUUACGGGAAACCAAAGUGUUUGGGUUC